rnacentral:lncRNA from 1 species
CACCAGGCUGCCUGUGUCCACAUUUGUGAGGCCAGCCUGGUGUUCCUGUGUCACCAUGGUUCCCUAGCCUCAUCCUCUCUCAUAUCCUGGUGUGUGUGGAUUUUGCCUGCCUGGGCCCAUUUUAGGUUCUCCAUGCAGUAAUGACCCAUUUUGACAGGCUCCCAUGACCCACUGACCAGGUGUUCUGCCAAGUAAACUCCUGCCUUCACCCCCACCCACUUACCACAGAGUUUUGUGGCAGUUAUUCUGAGGUUGCUCUCCACAGAACUCAUUCAGAACAGAACUCAUUCUCUGCUGGAUGAUCAGAAAUGGAGCUCAGCAUCUCAAGAAGAAAAGCAAGUGAACUGUACGACAGGCAAAUCAAUGAAAUUGGCAUUUUUCUUUAUUAAUGGGAGCAAUUUGUCUUGGGUUAAUGGCUAUUUACACAAUUUCAAGAUGCCUAGCCCUUUGAGUUUCCCUGGGUCCUGGAUCUUUUUGGGAUAUGGGGUGUGUGUGUGUGUGUGUGUGUGUGUGUGUGUGUGUGUGUGUGCAUGCACUACUACUGCUGCUGCUGCUGUCUCACAGUGUCUGUUCAUUUCCAUGCCUACACCAAAGUGCCCUGUAGGCAGAAGAGGAUGUGACGCAGCGCUGUCAUAUGGCUGGUGGCCCAAGGUGAUGAGACAGAGGUCCACGGGGAUGAGGCACCACGCUGAGAAGGAUCACCCAGCUGGGAACUGCGGCAGUGGGGACUCAAGCAUGCUCUUGUGA